rnacentral:rRNA from 1 species
UACGUAGGGUGCAAGCGUUGUUCGGAUUCAUUGGGCGUAAAGGGUGCGUAGGCGGUCUGCUAAGUUUGAUGUGAAAUCCCGGGGCUCAACCCUGGAAUGGCAUUGAAUACUGGCGGACUAGAGUACCGGAGAGGAAACUGGAAUUUACGGUGUAGCAGUGAAAUGCGUAGAGAUCGUAAGGAAGACCAGUGGCGAAGGCGGGUCUCUGGACAGUUCCUGACACUGAGGCACGAAGGCCAGGGGGAGCAAACGGG